GGCGACGUAGCCAAGAGGGAAGGCGGGAGUCUGCAAAACUCUUAUUCACCGGUUCGAUUCCGGUCGUCGCCUCCA
rnacentral:tRNA from 1 species